UACGGGGGGGGCAAGCGUUGUUCGGAAUUACUGGGCGUAAAGGGCGCGUAGGCGGCCUGCUAAGUCGAACGUGAAAUCCCCGGGCUCAACCCGGGAACUGCGUCCGAUACUGGCAGGCUUGAAUCCGGGAGAGGGAUGCGGAAUUCCAGGUGUAGCGGUGAAAUGCGUAGAUAUCUGGAGGAACACCGGUGGCGAAGGCGGCAUCCUGGACCGGUAUUGACGCUGAGGCGCGAAAGCCAGGGGAGCAAACGGG
rnacentral:rRNA from 1 species